rnacentral:pre_miRNA from 12 species
ACAGCCAUCCCACUGCUGCGUGUGGUGAUUAGGCAGUGUAUUGUUAGUUAGCUGUUCCUCACACACCAGCAACUGACUACACUGUCAGAUUAGCACAUCGCAGUCUAGACAAGAAUAUA